rnacentral:SRP_RNA from 2 species
GCCGGGUGUGGUGGCUCACGCCUGUAAUCCCAGCAGUUUGGGAGGCCGAGGUGGGUGGAUCACCUGAGGUCAGGAGUUUGAGACCAGCCUGGCCAACAUGGUGAAACCCCAUCUCUA